rnacentral:rRNA from 1 species
AACGAACGCUGGCGGCAUGCCUAACACAUGCAAGUCGAACGAGACCUUCGGGUCUAGUGGCGCACGGGUGCGUAACGCGUGGGAAUCUGCCCUUGGGUUCGGAAUAACUUCGGGAAACUGAAGCUAAUACCGGAUGAUGACGUAAGUCCAAAGAUUUAUCGCCCAAGGAUGAGCCCGCGUAGGAUUAGCUAGUUGGUGAGGUAAAGGCUCACCAAGGCGACGAUCCUUAGCUGGUCUGAGAGGAUGAUCAGCCACACUGGGACUGAGACACGGCCCAGACUCCUACGGGAGGCAGCAGUGGGGAAUAUUGGACAAUGGGCGAAAGCCUGAUCCAGCAAUGCCGCGUGAGUGAUGAAGGCCUUAGGGUUGUAAAGCUCUUUCACCGGUGAAGAUAAUGACGGUAACCGGAGAAGAAGCCCCGGCUAACUUCGUGCCAGCAGCCGCGGUAAAGUGACUACUG